rnacentral:rRNA from 1 species
UGGGGGAUAUUGCACAAUGGGGGAAACCCUGAUGCAGCAACGCCGCGUGAAGGAAGAAGGUCUUCGGAUUGUAAACUUCUGUCCUCAGGGAAGAUAAUGACGGUACCUGAGGAGGAAGCUCCGGCCAACUACGUGCCAGCAGCCGCGGUAAUACGUAGGGAGCGAGCGUUGUCCGGAUUUACUGGGUGUAAAGGGUGCGUAGGCGGAUCUGCAAGUCAGUAGUGAAAUCCCAGGGCUUAACCCUGGAACUGCUAUUGAAACCGUGGGUCUUGAGUGAGGUAGAGGCAGGCGGAAUUCCCGGUGUAGCGGUGAAAUGCGUAGAGAUCGGGAGGAACACCAGUGGCGAAGGCGGCCUGCUGGGCCUUAACUGACGCUGAGGCACGAAAGCAUGGGUAGCAAACAGGAUUAGAUACCC